GACGAACGCUGGCGGCGCGCUUAACACAUGCAAGUCGAACGGAAAGGCCUGCUUUCCCUUGUGGAUUGCGGGUACUCGAGUGGCGAACGGGUGAGUAACACGUGAGUGAUCUGCCCCCAACUUGGGUAUAAGCCUGGGAAACUGGGUCUAAUUCCCGAUAGGACUGCAGGGUGGCGCCUGUGGUGGAAAACGAUUUUCUAGUGGUUGGGGAUGAGCUCGCGGCCUAUCAGCUUGUUGGUGGGGUAAUGGCCUACCAAGGCGGCGACGGGUAGCCGGCCUGGGAGGGUGGACGGCCACAUUGGGACUGAGAUACGGCCCAGACUCCUACGGGAGGCAGCAGUGGGGAAUAUUGCACAAUGGGCGGAAGCCUGAUGCAGCGACGCCGCGUGGGGGAUGACGGCCUUCGGGUUGUAAACUCCUUUCGACCGCGAGGAAGCCACCUGGUUGGAAGGGUGGUGACGGUAGUGGUAGAAGAAGCACCGGCUAACUACGUG
rnacentral:rRNA from 1 species